rnacentral:sRNA from 2 species
AUUAGAAGCUGUUAGGUGAGGCUCCUAUACGGAAAAUGCUACUGCUCAGAAACGUCGAGAAACGCCAAUGAGUCAGCUGUGCAGGUCAAAUUAAGGCCUGUUCUAAUGUAGCUGUUAUGAAUCUUUAACUACGCCGUAUAGUGCUAAAACUCAACGACUGGCGAAUUCU